UUUAUCUCUCUCUCUCUUCCUUUCUCUCAAAACAAAACACAUGCACACACCUUUUUUUUCUUUAGCAAAAGACACGCACACACACAUACUUUAUCUCUCUCUCUCUCUUCCUUUCUCUCAACACAAAACACAUGCACACACCUUUUUUUCUUUAGCAAAAGACACGCACACACACAUACUUUAUAUCUCUCUCUCUUUCUCAAUUUAAAACUCACGCUGCAUAUCUCUCUCUCCCAAAGUUUCUCACACAGAAUCCUCUCUCUUCUCUCCAUCGGUCAUCUCCCUCUCUCGCCCGUUCCAGCCAUCAUCGAGGAGUUCCACCGCCGUGGCUCCGGAAUCCGGCGCUGGCUGUUCGUCCUCCUCCCUUCUCUCAUCAGUCACCACCCAGACCCGCCUCUCGCUCUCUCACUCGGCGUCGCGCUGCCGCGUGGAGCUGCUGCCGCUGACUGCUGCUGUUCUGCUCUGGGCCGCGACCAGCGGCGCUUGGCCUUUGACCGCGCCGUCCCGCUCCGCCUGAAGUCGCCGAGUCAGCCGCCUUCGACUGCUGCUGUCGCCGAGGAGUCCGCCGACUGCUGCUGUUCGUUGAGGAGUCCGCCGGCUGCUGCCACAAGUCUGCCGUCGUCGCAGCGAGACCGGCGCAGCACCAUCAUCCUCGCGUCCCUCUGACGCCGGCGUAGUUCUGCCAGUCGUCUGGAGUUGCCGCCACCGUCGCCAGCUGGACCCUCGGCAGCCGCUGCUGUCGUUCUCGGGCUCCGAUGAGGCCGAGGAAGUUGCCGUUGUUGCGGCUCGACUGUGCAGGGCCGCGUUCGAUGCCUUUCUAAAAGCUAAGUUCGAAGCUUGUCUACUUGAAGUUUCCGUUAUGUAGGAGAUACAAAGGAGCUAUGUUCUAAGUCGUAUGAUUCAUUCAAUCUCUUAAAUAUUUCAUAAUCAAUGUGUGAGGUCCUCAUGGUUUGUGUUCUAGAGUGCAGUGGCAGUAUACACAUAAGUCUUUCUAUUGCUAUACAUAACAUGGACUGUUUGAUGUAGUGGUAAAACAUGAUUAUGCUCGUUGGUAUGAAUGCGAACUCGAUUGGAUAACUGAGGUGGAAUAAGGGAAGAAGGUGGAGCAUUGAAGACAAGCUUACCUUGAGAAUACUUGGUAGGAUGAAUUAAAGGCUCACUUCUCCUUGUGCAGUCCUCAAAUGAAGAAUGAAGAGAAUGCAACAAUGUUGGUUGUUUUGAAUGACGAGGUGGUUUGGCUGGGAGCUUGUAUACAUGGGAGGAGGUACAUUCUAGGGUGGCUGAUUGACAUAUUUAGGUGUACUUGGGCAUGGCAGCCUGCUGCAUAGGCGUGGGAAAAAAAAGGUGCAGCAAGCUCAAGAGGGGAUAGGGGAGUGUGCAGCACAUGUCUCCAUACCUUAUUGUUAUUCCCAUUUUCUUGAACUUAGGGGGGGGGGUGGCAGGUGGUGGAGUAGUAAAAAUCUAAUUUGUAUUAUUAUCGAGAUUGCUAAAUUAAAUCCAUAGAUUUAAUUCGUUCGUCA